rnacentral:lncRNA from 1 species
GAUGUUUAAUUUGUACGCGAUUGCGAUCAACUCGAAUUUGUGCGGUUAUUUCGAAAAAUUGUGAAAUUUGAAACUGAAAUGUGUAAACAAUGGAUGGAAAUUCGUUCUCGAGAGAACGAAACGAACGAGACACGCGCGUGACAAACAAUCGUAGGUUAGAAUCUAGUGUAAAAUCGAUGCGGUUCUAUUAUUAGAUACACUUACGCAACAUUGUGAGUGCAGUCUUGAGUCGUAUAGUUAUGACACGAAAAUAGCGCGAUUGGUUUCGUCGAAUGGUUUCGAACCGUGUUGCAGCUACUAUCCAGUGUUUAAUUAGAAUGUGUAGAAAGAAGGAAAGAAGGAAAAAAUAACGCAGCUAAUGAAUAGUUUAAACGUUAUCGAGUCAAUUUAUCACCGAGUAAUUUUAAGGUUAUGUUGAACCGAAACUUGACGUUCGUAAAACGAUCGUAUUUAAAAUCUACAACAAAAAUGUCUUUGCUGUUAAAUAAAAAUUAAUUCCUUUCGAAGUGAAAAUAAGAAGAUUCCAAAACGAUUAAAGUAAAUAAUAAUUUCACCGUUUAAUAAUCAUAAAAAAAAAAUUUACAUUCACCUGUAUCCAAUUUUGACACAAGCCAAAACGACCCGUUCCAUUUCACGGUACGAAAAAUUCUCGAAGAGGAAACUAUUAAUGGAAGGGAAAGAGAGGAGAAGAAAUGAGCAAGCGACGCAUAAAUCGCCAUCGAGCGGGGAAUUAAUCUCGAUCGAAGUUGCUCACUUUAGGCUGCAAUCUUGGAACCGCCGCCCGUGGGCUAAGGAAUUACGCCCGCGGAACGAAUAUCCGGCCGGAUGGCCGGAAUUUCGUUGGCCAAAUUAAAAGGCGGUCGUUCCGUGUUUACAGAGCCGGGGCGUACGUAGAGGAGAUUGAAACGGACGCGGCCUAACGCGGGAGCGAGAGAGAGAAAAAGAGAGAAAGAGAGAGAGAGAGGGAAGAAGUUCACUUGUAAAUCAAUUUAUUCGUUGACGGGCCGCGCGCGUCCAGGCCUCCGCUUCCUUAUUAAAAUUCGUGGCACGGCCACGAUUUUAACGAUCGGGAUACCACCACCACUACCACCGUUAUGGGACGGAGAGUAAUCCCUCGUGUCGAUGGGUGCACAGGUAUUUGUUUCCAAGGAUGAUAGCUGAAGUGAAAUUUACAGUUACGAAAAAUUAGUCGACGAUAUUGAUUCGAUAUUAUGAAUACUGUGUUUCGAUAAUAUUUAACGUAAAAGAAAAAACUUUAAUAUCAUCGAUGCGGAGGAAGGGUGUCGAAUUUUACUCGGUUGGACGCGUCGUUUUCGACAAAGGAUUCCGAGACCACCGAUUUCGAGACUGCGGUCGAGAUUGUCGAGAAGGAAUCGGUCGUCAACAAACCGCAAAAGUUUUCCGGUGCGACCCCCACCGUCAGCUGGAGUGACGUUGCACGCGAUGCGCCAUCUGGUAGGUGCUCUCAGUGAUUGUCACCCGAAGCGACCCCAGCGCCGCCGAAGUCAUCUUUGUCGAACUAUAUUAUAUUAUUUUCGAUAGUUUAAUAAGUCGUAAUAAGAAUUCGUCGCUUUUCGCCGUUUGAUCGAGGAUAUUCAGGAAUUUGGACAGAGCAAGGAUACGAAGAGUGUCGAUCUGCGAAUCAACGUUCGACAACCCUCGAAGAAACCGAAACCGACGAUGGAACGGAACGGCACUGUGGAAGGCGACCGAGGUUAACCAUCGAUCUUCGGCGAAGCGACUUUUGCUUCCGUCACGAUGAAAUCGAGCGAGGACACGCGAUUCUUUCAAGUUCGUUCACCGAUCCUUUGUAUAUCUCGUGCAACUUUGUUGACACAUCCUCGCUUCAUCCUCUCAAUUUUCGACGCCUGUCGUGGGAAUCUGUCUCGAUCUGCUUCGAUAUUAAGAGAAAUUAUUCCGAAAAAAGUUUUGAAACAUCGUUACGCGGGAUUCUUCAAUUUUUCGUCGAUUCUAAAACGGGGCUCGGAUCGAGCAAAUAAAAUCGGCGUGACCGCGCGCGUGCACUCUCGUUUCGCCCUGCUCGCGUGGCGUGCACAAAGCUGCUCGAUCGUGGCCGUCGAUAACGGCCUGUUAUCCGCAACGGCAACAAAUUGGGCCCCCAUAAUCGCGCUAAUGCAUCAACCGCGGCGUGCACGCGGUGUGACGGUAAAAUUGCCGGCGGGUCCUCUCGCGAAAAAGGGUCGAUGUUAUCGCGAGUCGAGUUGUAAGUGCGCGGGAACCAUUGUACGCCGCUAAUCGGGCCACAGACGGCCGCGCAAAGUGCCUGGCAUUUUUACCGGAGGAAGCUGUAAUCAACGCGCAAUACGGUUCCGCGUUGAAUUAAUGGCCGAGGGAGGAGCAGGAGCGCGACCGUCGCUUCGCCACCCCGCUUGCCUCCAUCUUUGGAAGGAAUUGGUAAUUGCCGUUUGGAAAAGGAAGAAAAACGAUGUGUUUUCGAAACUUGAAAUUGGCCAGUUUGUUCGUGGAUCGACGGUGGAUCAUCAUUGACAGGGACGUGUGAGGAACAAGGAGGGAGUGCAUCGAGAUCCAUCACAAGAAUUGGACGAGGAAGAAGUUACUUAUACUUGAUUCUCUUGAUUCUAAUCCUUAAUCUUUUGGAUUUUCAUCUGCGUCCAAUUGUUCAGAUCGCCUACGAUUAUCAUAUAGGUUAUAAUUCUAUUCAAAGAUGGACUCGUACCAUUUGGAGCUUCCAGCACACGUGUCAUUUGGCUUUUAAUUAUCCUGGUUCAAUAUUGUAUUUCGGUCUACCCAUUUUCAAUUCCAAAUUCUUCCACGCUUCUCGAAAAGAUGAUACAAAAAAAAGUUAUUACAGAGAAAGAGCAA